CUUGAAACCUCACACUCUAGAGUUUUCUCUAGAGACGUGGAUUUGGGUGUUGCAAUUUGCUCACCUUGAAUGACUUAGUGGUUCCUACCGUAGCCUGAUGUAAUAAGUUUCAUCUGGUCAAGGGAAGACUGCUUCUAAUCGCCUUACGGCACUAUUUAAGACUAGACCUCAAAUCAGGUAGGACUACCCGCUGAACUUAA
rnacentral:misc_RNA from 1 species